GGUGAGAUGGCCGAGCGGUCUAAGGCGCCAGACUAAGGUAUUCUCAUCUGGUCUCUUCGGGGGCGGGAGUUCGAAUCUCCCUCUCAUCA
rfam:Termitomyces sp. J132 unplaced genomic scaffold scaffold439, whole genome shotgun sequence.